ensembl:lncRNA
AAGGCAAGGCAAUGCAAAGCUGACAAUUCAGGCAAUGGUCUUUACCUUCAGUUGUUUUCCAUUAACAAUGGGAACAUAUUCUUUCAGUGAACCACAAAAGCUGGUUUCCAAAGCUACUACUGAGUUCUGUGGCAUACAAGGAUCUGAUUCAAUUGUUCUAAGAGCUGCUCACAAAGCUGGUUAGACACAGUUUUUUUGUACUUUGUCCCAGUUAUCUGCUCCUGCCUAUUAGAGUGAAUGAAACAUCACAACAUUAUUUAUCACAGGCUUCUAUUUGUUAAUAACACUACUGUUUAUUACUCUGAACAUGUACGCAGUCAGUGCUAGUUCUGUUAUUCUUUCUUACUCAUCUUGGCAAGAUCUUGGCUUCUCCCUUCCUUCACAACAUGACUGCACACUUCAUUUGAAAUUUGCUUAUGAUCAUUUAGAUUAAGAAUUCUGGCUUUGUUUCAUGUCAGUGUUCUAUGGGCUGGUUCGGCCCAAUUGCAUGACUAGUGGGGUGAAGGUAUCCACAGAUCCGUGCCUCCGGAAAGGGGAAACAAGGGACACUGAAUGAUUAAAAACAACAGCAAUGAUCUGAGGAGAAACAAACUCAUUUUUAAACAUGGUAUCGGAAUGCAAGAUAACACACUGUAAUGCAAUAUAAUUAGAAUUGAAGCUAAUAACAUUUGAGUUAUUAGCUUCACUCUCUCAAAGAGAGAGUGUCCAAAAGGUGGAAAGGCCUCACCAUAACACUGGGCUGAAAUGUGCAGUUGGGUCAAGCAGCAGGGAGGAGAGCCAAAGAAAAGGGAAAAGAAAAUGUUAGGUGACCUACCAAGGCCUUUAAUGUGUUCCCCCUGAGCAGAAAUGAUAGCAGCACAGUGAAUAGUCUUCUGGGGAAUGUAGUAGUUCUUCUCUUCUGGGACAGGUACCGGAACCUGUACUGGAACCAGACCUAGAGCAUUAACUCUUUAACUCCCAGUGUUAACUACAUGAUGUCAUGAUGUGGAAUACUGGUAACCAAAAAUCACAAAACCAUGAUCUGUCCUUAAUUGUGCAAAUCAAAAUACUGAAACUCUUCCAUCAUAAUGAUCACUAUCUGAAAAGUUCAAUGCUGUUUCACUCACAUGAACAGUUCCUGUGAGUAUUUCCCUCUUUGGUCACUUUACUACAGUGUAAUUCGAUCAAUUUCAGGAAAAUAUGUAAGAAACUGGAGGAUUAUUGUUGUAGAUUCAGCUCAUUAGCCCCGUGAGAGUCUAAGAAGGCAUCCCUAAAUGUAGGUCAGAACUAACAGAGUCAGAGUUUGCCAUACUGGGUUCUCACUAAAUUAAGAUUUAAUAUAAUGAAUAAUUGAGUUUAAUUCACAUCAACAAUAUGCAGAGCCAUGUUGAUAUACUGUUUUAGUUUUUUACUGAUUUUACAACAUGAACAUUUGAAUAUGACUGUUCUGCAAAAUGUAUUGCACAUAAUCCUCGUAGUCUAGGAAAAGUUACUGACUACUGAGGGCUGUGCCACAGUGAGCUUUUUCACACCUCAGGUUGAUCAGAAUAUCAUAAUGUGAUUGUCUGUUUCCAUUUUGCAUAAUCUGAUGAGAUGUUAUUUAAUCAUUGGGAAGUGUAUAGCAUAUCACAGAAUUUUUUUUUGUACUUACUGCGAUGAAUGAAACUAUUUUCUCCUGAAAGCAAGAAUUAGAGAGAAAAAUUUAUAAAGUGAUCUUCAU